UACGAAGGGGGCUAGCGUUGUUCGGAAUUACUGGGCGUAAAGCGUGCGCAGGCGGCUUCUCAAGUCAGGGGUGAAAGCCCAGAGCUCAACUCUGGAAUUGCCUUUGAGACUGAGUGGCUUGAGUACGAGAGAGGUGAGUGGAAUUCCCAGUGUAGAGGUGAAAUUCGUAGAUAUUGGGAAGAACACCGGUGGCGAAGGCGGCUCACUGGCUCGUUACUGACGCUCAGGCACGACAGCGUGGGGAUCAAACAGG
rnacentral:rRNA from 1 species